GCCUCUCUUUCCCGCGCUGCGAGGCCUCAUCUUUGGCACCGGAAGCGGAAGUUCUUUCCUUUCUUGUUUCUGCUCCCAAAGAGACAUACAGCGAACAUGGCUCCACGUAAAGGCAAGGAGAAGAAGGAGGAGCAGGUGAUCAGCCUCGGCCCUCAGGUCGCUGAAGGAGAGAACGUGUUCGGGGUCUGCCACAUCUUCGCCUCCUUCAACGACACCUUCGUGCACGUCACCGACCUCUCCGGAAA